rnacentral:rRNA from 1 species
AACUCGCCUACAUGAAGUCGGAAUCGCUAGUAAUCGCGGAUCAGCAUGCCGCGGUGAAUACGUUCCCGGGCCUUGUACACACCGCCCGUCACACCAUGAGAGUUUGUAACACCCAAAGCCGGUGGGGUAACCUUUUGGAGCCAGCCGUCUAAGGUGGGACAGAUGAUUAGGGUGAAGUCGUAACAAGGUAGC